rnacentral:rRNA from 1 species
GUGGGGAAUAUUGGACAAUGGGCGAAAGCCUGAUCCAGCAAUGCCGCGUGAGUGAUGAAGGCCUUAGGGUUGUAAAGCUCUUUUACCAGGGAUGAUAAUGACAGUACCUGGAGAAUAAGCUCCGGCUAACUCCGUGCCAGCAGCCGCGGUAAUACGGAGGGAGCUAGCGUUGUUCGGAAUUACUGGGCGUAAAGCGCGCGUAGGCGGCUACUCAAGUCAGAGGUGAAAGCCCGGGGCUCAACCACGGAACUGCCUUUGAAACUAGGUAGCUAGAAUCUUGGAGAGGUCAGUGGAAUUCCGAGUGUAGAGGUGAAAUUCGUAGAUAUUCGGAAGAACACCAGUGGCGAAGGCGGCUCACUGGACAGGUAUUGACGCUGAGGUGCGAAAGCGUGGGGAGCAAACAGGAUUAGAUACCCCAGUAGUCC